GGCCAAGAGGCCGUCGGUGGGGGUGGAUCAGCAUGACGUGGUGGGGCCAUGGCAGCAGCCGGAUCGGGGCGGCGACGGAAGGCCAUGGAGGGUGUGGUGCAUGCGGGCGAAACCAACAUGGGUUGGUGGAGCAACGGAUGCGGGCAGGGUCAGCGGUUAGGGGCACUGCGAGGAGUGGAAGGCAGAGGGUAGGGGCAGAAAGCCGUGGCGAGUCCUCGGAGAGGAGAGGAAGGCGACGGAUCAGCCCGUGGUGUUGGGCAGAGAGAGAUGUGGAUGGCGGCGUUGUGCAAAGAGAGAUGGCGGCGGCGCUGAGUAGAGAGAGAUGACUGCGGCAGGGGUGGCGCUGAGUAGAGAGAGAUGACGUCCAUAAUCUUGCGGAGGUGUUCCUCAACCUACAUGAGGCACCCCAAGUGUGGGAAGAAUAAAAUGUAAUUCAAUCGUUGGGUGUAUUGUUCAGAUGAGUUCGUCCUGUGCUGGAAGCUGCAGGAAUUCAGUUUGUUUCUGGUUUUUUGGAAGUCAUAGAUUGUUUUGUGCCAGAGACAGGACAAUGAACAGGCAUGAGAUCUGGAAUAUUGAAGAGCAACAAUUGGCAGAAGUAUUAGAUGAGUUUGGGAAUACAUGGUCAUGUAUGGAGUAUUUUCAUGAUUAGUUUUCCAUCGCUCGGCUCCUGAAGGCAUGAUGCCUCAUUUCAAUUCUCUUAUCUUGAUGUGUUUGUAUUCAGAAAAUUAAGGCAUGAUUCAUCAUUUAGAUUAUCUUAUCUCCGUGUGUUUGUAUUCAGAAAAUCAAUUUGCUUAUUUUUUGCUUUCUUAGGGCUAUAAAAAGAGAAAACUCCAUCGCUAAAAAUCUUUUAAAGAGAUUGAGGAUAAAAAAAUCCAAGCAAACUCCGCUUUUCUCCCGUAUUUUUUGUGCGCGCCUUAAUCUGUGUUGGGAGAAAGAUAUUGCUCUUUGUUCAGAAAAUGUUUAUUAGAUGGAAAAUACUGGGCAUUUAAAUUUUUUUCUUCAGAUGUUUUGGGUUUUUUUAGUAGGCUGCUCGACAGGUCUUGCGUUUUUUGCAAGAUUUGUAUGGAUUCGUGGUUCAUGACUAUAACUAUGAAUGUAUGAUGGCCUAUAGGAGAUAUGUCCGUUCUUUAAUGAUCAUUGCGGUUUCUUUGAUUCCUACUAUGCUAGUUAUUCUGUCUGUAGGCCAGCAUAUUAUUUUAAUUCUUUCUAACUGCCUUUCUAUACGUAGAAAUGCACACCUACUUCCAAGCUUAGUACUGGUCUCCUUGCAGUUACAACCCCGAGAAAAUCGCCAUGCCCAGACGGCAGUGCCAGGUGUGCCUUAUUUCAAGCUGCUGAGAAGAAAACCGCUGCACCAGAAGAACCUAUGCAGAAGCUUGAUGCAGAAGACGAGGUGAGCUCUGGUGGUAAAGCUGAAGCUUCUUCACCUCCUGUUGAAGAGAAGGAUGGUAAAUAUGGCCAGGCUCAAGUGACCAGGAAUAAAUGGUGCUGCUUUUUAUGUUGUCCAUCUAUCUAUGCAUCCUUCAGUUUGUACCGGCAUAACAAAUAUUCGUUUCUGACUAUAAAACUUUCAGUUAAGAAACUCCACUGCUGGAAAGGGAGCUGGGGCACUAAAGAAACCGGGAUAAACUAUCUAUAGAUACAAUAGCAAAUUGCUCUAAAUUCAUUUUCAGUUAUCAUCUCUGGCCUUUCUAUUUCUAAGACCAUCCUUCUCGCUGUUGUCUAUUAUAUAAUCUUAGUUUCUCCUUGAUGACAUCGCAAGAAAAGAAUGGUGCUCUUAUGCGAGUCGCUUCGCCAUCCAACAACACUCCAUUGCACUACUUUUUGUCCAGCUUCAAGCCGAGCCAGUGAAUGUGUGUUCCUUGCAUGACGUUUAGUAUAACCAAAUGCUUCUUAUUAAGUAUGCUUUCAAAACUAGAGUAUUUGGCUGCUCAUGUAGCUCUGCCAAAGCAAUGCAAAAAAACUACAUUUUAUGCUUUCAGUUAGGGUGGAUUUGUGUCUUCAGAGAUGAGGCAACCUUACGUGUACAUAUUCACAGAUACUUCCUCCGUUCCUAAAUAGAAGUCUUUAGAGAUUUAAAUACGGACUACACACAAAGCAAAAUGAGUGAAUCUACACUCUAAACUGUGUCCCUUUAUCACACUUCCAGCAGACAUGAGUUCUCGUGUUUUUACAGCUUUGUGGCAACAUGAUUCGAUGCAUAAGAUUCAACUAUGUAAAUUGGAAUAAAGAAAAUUAAACACUCAGGUCAAUGGACUGUUCUUUUAUUUGUCUAUGGAACAACUCUUCUUGUACAUGUUUGUGCUCUGUUCCAUAGCAUGCUAGUGCUCUGACCACUUCAUAUCCAUGUAUUUAGCAGGUUCUACGAUCUCUUGUGUUGCACUGUUGCUGCGUCUCGAUCUCCUGCUUUGUUGCAUCUUUGUUCUGCUCCUUGAUGUUUGCUUACUUUCUGUCUAGCUAAAAUGCUUUUCUGGAUCUGGCAAGGCGCCGUGUAUUGUUCGUCCUCAUGCUGCUUAUAUUCCAUGCUUGCAUGAGGGAGCAGCAGGCAAAAGAAAAUCCAAAGCAAAUUUUGCUCAGCUGUAGCGUCUUCCACUAACAAUAAGUCUGCACAGCAGCCUGAUAGGGAUAUGAGGAGACAGCUCUAUUGUUGGUAGUGACUGCAAACAUGGACUCCUCUUCGCUGGACGGGGAAAACAAAAAUAAUAAUCUAGUAGGCAGUAAAAUUACAUGGCUGAUCUCGGUUUUGUACAUCUUAGGUCAGCAUUAUGAGUUCUACUUCCCAUAAGAGAGUGUAUUUUGGUGGUACAGAUUGUUUCUAUCUUAGAGCAAGAAGCCAAAUCAUGUCGUUCAUUGUAAAUCUUGAAAAACUUGUUUAUUGUCACUUCUAUAUCUGUUAUAAACUUUUGUUCCUGGUGUGGUACUUGUCAA